GAGAGCACCAAGUGUUACAAUAAGUUAUACCUGGAUAGAUUGCUACAGCUGAGAGUGUUGGAGAAUCUGUCUCCUGACUGGGCCUGUGGCUAUUGGAUUAUCCUUCUGAAGGAGAUUCCAUGAUGAAGCAGUAUUUCCCUGCUGUGAAACUGAAGGAGAGCACUUCACCCACCACCCUACACUGGAAGUAAAAAUGAACUUUUCUUGUCUUUGUGUACUGCAAAACUGCAUAAGAGCAACCAGCUCUUGGUCUAACAACAGAGAUUGAGCACCAUGGUACA